AGCAGCCGCGGUAAUUCCAGCUCCAAUAGCGUAUAUUAAAGUUGUUGCAGUUAAAAAGCUCGUAGUUGAAUUUCGGGAUCAAUUUAUCGGUCGUGCCAAUGGUAUGAACUGGUACAAUUGGUUUCUCCCUUCUGACGAAGCAUGAUGUCAUUAAUUUGGUGUCGUGGGGAAUCAGGACUGUUACUUUGAAAAAUUAGAGUGUUUAAAGCAAGCAUUAGCUUGAAUACAUUAGCAUGGAAUAAUGAAAUAGGACGUUUGAUCCUAUUUCGUUGGUUUCUAGGAUCGACGUAAUGAUUAAUAGGGAUAGUUGGGGGCAUUAGUAUUCAAUUGUCAGAGGUGAAAUUCUUGGAUUUAUUGAAGACUAACUACUGCGAAAGCAAUUUGCCAAGGAUGUUUUCAUUAAUCAAGAACGAAAGUUAGGGGAUCGAAGACGAUCAGAUACCGUCGUAGUCUUAAACCAUAAAAACUAUGCCGACUAGGGAUCGGAUGAUGUUAAUUUUAAUG
rnacentral:rRNA from 1 species